GACGAACGCUGGCGGCGUGCCUAAUACAUGCAAGUUGAGCGAUGAAGAUUGGUGCUUGCACCAAUUUGAAGAGCAGCGAACGGGUGAGUAACGCGUGGGGAAUCUGCCUUUGAGCGGGGGACAACAUUUGGAAACGAAUGCUAAUACCGCAUAAUAACUUUAAACAUAAGUUUUAAGUUUGAAAGAUGCAAUUGCAUCACUCAAAGAUGAUCCCGCGUUGUAUUAGCUAGUUGGUGAGGUAAAGGCUCACCAAGGCGAUGAUACAUAGCCGACCUGAGAGGGUGAUCGGCCACAUUGGGACUGAGACACGGCCCAAACUCCUACGGGAGGCAGCAGUAGGGAAUCUUCGGCAAUGGACGAAAGUCUGACCGAGCAACGCCGCGGGAGUGAAGAAGGUUUUCGGAUCGUAAAACUCUGUUGGUAGAGAAGAACGGUGGUGAGAGUGGAAAGCUCAUCAAGUGACGGUAACUACCCAGAAAGGGACGGCUAACUACGUG
rnacentral:rRNA from 1 species